UUUUUUAUGUUUUUGUGUUUAGUGUUUUUUUUUUUUUUUUUUUUUUU
rnacentral:ribozyme from 1 species